UGUGUGUAAAUAUCAAACAAACAGUUACUUGUGAUAUGCUUUUGAUCACGGUUGUAAAUUAUCUUUAAAUAAAAAGGAGGAAAAGGAUCUGCAUCAUGGUUUGGUAUCAGUAGCAAAAUAUUACAAUAAUGCAAAAUAAAUGACAGUACUGAGGAUACUAUCUAUUUUCCUGGUUGUUUUUAUUAUAGGGGAAAAUAAUCCUAAUGUAAUUUCUUAGUCUAUAUAAUUACGUAUAAAAGUUUAUGAAUUAAAAUAAAAUCAUGUAAAUUUUUUGAUACAUGUAAUAAAUUUU
rnacentral:lncRNA from 1 species